UACGGAGGGUGCAAGCGUUGUCCGGAAUCACUGGGCGUAAAGGGCGCGUAGGCGGCUCAUGAAGGCUGUGGUGAAAGUCCGGGGCUCAACCUCGGAUCGGCCGUGGCGACUCGUGGGCUGGAGCACUGUAGAGGCGGGUGGAAUUCCGGGUGUAGCGGUGGAAUGCGUAGAGAUCCGGAAGAACACCAGUGGCGAAGGCGGCCCGCUGGGCAGUGGCUGACGCUGAGGCGCGAAAGCGUGGGGAGCAAACAGGG
rnacentral:rRNA from 1 species